AUUGAACGCUGGCGGAAUGCUUAACACAUGCAAGUCGAACGGCAGCACGGGUGCUUGCACCUGGUGGCGAGUGGCGAACGGGUGAGUGACAUAUCGGAACGUAUCCAAUAAUGGGGGAUAACUAAUCGAAAGGUUGGCUAAUACCGCAUAAGCCCUACGGGGGAAAGCUAGGGACCUUCGGGCCUGGCGUUAAUGGAGCGGCCGAUAUCUGAUUAGCUAGUUGGUGGGGGAAUGGCCUACCAGGGCGACGUGCAGUAGCUGGUCUGAGCGGACGACAAGCCACACUGGAACUGAGACACGGUCCAGACUGCUACGGGAGGCAGCAGUGGGGCAUUUUGGACAAUAGGCGCAAGCCUGAUCCAGCCAUUCCGCGUGAGUGAAGAAGGCCUUCGGGUUGUAAAGCUCUUUCGCAAGGGAAGAAAACUUAUCCUCUAACAUAGGAUGAGGUUGACGGUACCUUGAUAAGAAGCACCGGCUAACUACGUGCCAGCCGCCGCCGUAACAC
rnacentral:rRNA from 1 species